rnacentral:lncRNA from 1 species
CGGGAUCCUUAACCCACUGAAUGAAGCCAGGGAUCAAACCUGAAACCUCAUGGUUCCUAGUCAGAUUUGUUUCCACUGCGCCAAGACGAGAACUCCAUCACCCAUCUUCUUCUGCUGAGAUGCUAACAUGACUGGCAGGUGAUGAUAUUGUCCUACAUGGCAAAAUUAAUGAUAAAAACUAAUGCUAAUUAUGUGCCAGGAACCAUGCUUGGUGCUUUCCAGGGAUCACGGGCUCUGUCCCUCGCAAGAUCCUCAUGGGAGGACAGACUUCCAGAGAGAAGCGGUGGGGCUGGUGCCUGAUGAGAGAGGAGUUAAGGGAUCAAGCCCAAGCUGCUUGUCAUCUCAGGGUGAUUUUUUUUUUUUUUCUUUUUUCGGCCGCCCUGAGGGUAUGGAAUUCCCAGAACAGGGAUUAGAUCUGAGCCACAGUUGUGACCUAUGCCACAGCUGCGGCAACACCGGAUCCUUAACCUGCUGUGCCUGACUGGGGAUUAAUCCUGCACCCCAGUACUCCAGAGACACCGCUGAUCCCAUUGUGCCAGAUCAAGAACUCUCCUUGGCAUCUCAGGCAUCAGUGUGGUCCAGCCCAGCCAUAUGUCCAGCAUCGGCUUCUGCUCACCCCUGUACCCCCCUCAUGCCCCCCAUCUCCUUCUGAUAGUUAACACUAUGGCACCCCUAGCUGUUCCCAUGGCCCACCAAGGAGCCUCAGACCCUCAGCAUCCAAGACUCCCCCAGGAACGUCUGCCCCCAGCACUCUGCCUGGUGAGUUUCAGCAUCCUGCAAAUCUCGGCCCAGACACCCUGUGCUCCGUGAAACUCAUCUGAGCCCGAAUGUGCCUGGACGUGCUCCUUCCUGUGUGCCGUAUCCACCCCUGUAUGGCACUUGGGUCUCAGGUCUCCUCCACUCAGCCCAGGCUCUGAGUCCAUCCCUGUCCUCUAGCCCACAGCAGGCGCUCAAUAACUGCCCUGAAGGAGCACAUGAGUGGGGGGGUUGUGGGAAAGAGGCCACAGACCACUCCUUCCAGAAUGGCCCUGCAGUGUAUGGCUCUUCCACUUGCCUGUGAUUCCACGGGAGUCUUGGAUGUGGUCCUUGGGUCCAGGAGCGCCUUGGCUUGCAGUUGGGUCUGCAGUUAAGGCCUGGUGCCUCCACUCUCUAAAGAUUUUUUUUUUUUUUUUUUUUUUUUUUUUUUUUUUUCCCUUUUUUGGGGCGCCCCCCCGGGGGGGAUUGGGGNNNNNNNNNNNNNNNNNNNNNNNNNNNNNNNNNNNNNNNNNNNNNNNNNNNCACAGCUCACGACAACACCGGAUCCUUAACCCACUGAGCAAGGCCAGGGAUCGAACCCGCAACCUCAUGGUUCCUAGUCGGAUUCAUUAACCGCUGAGCCACAACGGGAACUCCAAAAGAUUUUUUUUUUUUUAAGAGGAGUUUUAGUUCACUGUAAAAAUGAGCAGAAGAUACAGAGAGUUCCCAUCCACUCCCUGCCCCUACUCAGGCACAGCCUCCCCCAUCAUCCGCAUCCCCAGAGGGGUACUUUUGUUACAGCCGAUAACGUACACUGACACAUCAUGAUCACCCAGAGGCCACCGUCUGCCUUACAGUUCACUCUUGGCGUUGUACACUGUAUGGGUUUAGACAGAUGUAUAAUCGACAAAUAUCCACCUAUGUAGUAUCAUACAGAGUAUUUUCACUGCCCUGAAACUCCUCUGUGCUCUGCCUAUGCUUUCCUCCCCCUAGGAUUUCAGGCAACAACUGACCUUUCUACUGUCUCCAUAAUUGUGCCUUUUCUUUUUCUUUUCUUUUCUUUCUUUUUUCUUUUUUUUUUUGUCUUUUGUGUUUUAAGGGCCACACCUGCAGCAUACGGAGGUUCCCAGGCUAGGGGUCGAAUCAGAGCUACAGCUGCCAGCCUAUACCACAGCCACAGCCACUUGGGAUCCGAGCCUUGUCUGUGACCUGCACCACAACUCAAGGCAACACCAGAUCCUUAACCCACUGAGUGAGGCCAGGGAUCCAACCCGCUUCCUCAUGGAUACUAGUCAGUUUCACUAACCAUGGAGCCAUGACAAGAACUUCAGUUUUGCCUAUUCCAGACUGUCAUAUAGUUGGAAUCUUUCAGCACCUAGCCUUCUCAGAGUGGCUCCUUUCUCUUAGUAACGUGCAUUUAAGAUUGCUUCAUGGCCUGAUAGCUCAUUUCUUUUUGGCGCUAAAGAACAUUCUCUUGCCUGGAUGGACCGUGUUUUGUUUAUCCACUCACCCACUGGAGGACAUCCUGGCUGCCCCUGAGUUUUGGCAAUUACGACGAGAACUGCUAUAAAUAUUUGUGUGCCGGUUUUUGUGUAGAUGUACACUGCUAACUCCUUUGGAUAAAUACCAAGCCACACAGUUGCUAGAUCAUACAGUCAGAGUGUAUUUAUUUUUGUAAGAGACCAUCAGACUCGCUCCCCAAGUGGCUGGUACCAUUUUGCAUUCCCACCGAAAUGAAUGACAGUUCCGUUGCUCCACAUUUUCGCGAGCAUUUGGUGUUGUCAGGGUUAAGGCUGUUGGCCAUUCAAAUUCGCGUGGUGACAUCUUUUUUUUUUUUUUUUUUUUUUUUUUUUUUUUUUGCUUUUUGGGGCCACGCACAUGGCAUAUGGAGGUUGCCAGCCUAUGCCACAGCCACAGCAACGUGGGAUCCGAGCCGCAUCUGUGACCUACACCACAGCUCACGGCAACACUGGAUCCUUAACCCACUGAGCAAGGCCAGGGAUCGAACCCACCUCCUCUCGAUACUAGUUGAAUUUGUUUCCCCCGUGCCAUAAUGGGAACCCUAUAGUGAUAGCUGAUUGUUGCUUUAAUUUGCAUUUCCCUGAAGGCCUGAUAGACCUGCCUCCACUUCUUCAGUGAGUGCUGUUGUUACCUCUGUUCACUGGGCUUACUCCCUGUCGUCUGCAAGGGCAGUCUGGCUUAUUUUUUUUCUCUUAGAAUUCUACCAGCAGUGGGAACUGGUAGGCCCCUUUGGAGUGGUAAUCAGAAAAUACCUUGUUUUCAAAUUUCUUAGAACAGCUUUCCUUUGAAGGUAAUGACUAGGCGCUACCUCUUGAUUCGCAGCCCAGGGGCUGAGACAGGACCAGAGGCAUCCACUGUCCUCCCCAGGACCUGUGUUGAUAUUACAAAAUCACCAAAAAUGCUCCGAUUUUCUCCCUUGGAGCCUGGUUCAUGGGUAUAACUCAAAACCCCAAGAUUUGUGAGGUCCUCCCUCUGGGGUUCCAAGUUGUAGAGGUUCUUUAGAAGGAAAAGAGUAGAAAAAGCUCUUACUCUUGAACUUUGAUUUAAAAAGCAAAUGCCAUAUGAUCCCAGUGCUAGGCUACCUCCCGGAGAUGUGAAAAGAGCCGGGCCAAAGGAGAGGGGGACUCCAAAGCCUAAGUGUCGUUAACUGCAGCAAAUCUGUCUCCACUGGAACCAGCAUGCCAUGCUUCACCUGCUGGGGGUUCAAAUAAACCACAUCUCGGAUUCUUCCAAUUAUUCCUCAAACUGUAAGAUGCCAUUAUCCAUAGGAAGGAUAUCGUUUCCCCCUGAGGCUUUCCUCCACCCCUCCCCAGCUCCCCAAGAACAUUCAGGAUUUGUUCUGCACACUGUCAGACAACUGAGCGGUCCCAUCAACCCUGGAGCACUGAUUCAGGUGCCCUGCCUCACUGGGCAGUGAACACUCGGCUAAGAUACUUUGAACCCAUCCCCAUGUAGCAGGGUCCUGGCAGCCAGAUAUCCCCAUGCCUGAAGGCCAUUCCAAAGCAAGAGACUGCCAGAGACAGGGAAUCUAUUAGAGGUUCAAGCCUCAAAUAUAGCCUGCUCCAGACCCAGCUCUUAUUCCCAUGAAGCCCAAUUCACCAGUCAAGCCCCUCUUUCUCUCAUAAUGGAUCAUCCUUUGGAGCCUCAGCAUCCAUGGCUGGAAGAGUGGAGCUCCCGGCCCCUCUCCUGCAGUCACUGCAGCUCUGUCCCCUCCUGCUGGGAAGAGCUAAUGGGGGUAUUGCAAUGGGGUGCCUUGCCAGGUUGCAGAAGCUGAGCUAAGUUCCGCUGCCACAGAUGCUCGGUUUCCCAGUGCUGUGGUUCUUUCCCCGCAAGGAGUGACCUGGAUGGAUAGGCUUCACCAGAUCUGAGAGUAUGCAGACGGGUUCCGGUUCCCAUUUCUUCCUUCCAGAUGCGAUCUACAGCCCCUUUGGUUUUCAGAUGGUGAUGGUGGCAUUCGUGGGGGUUCUUUCCAGAGCCAUAGGGUCUGGGCUGCCAGGAGCUGCAUCUGCUGUGUGUCUAGGAAAGAUGUUCCUUUUGGAUCUUGCAAGGCCUGGUGACAGCUUUAAUGAGAAAAGAGCCCCAGAGAAAGGACUCUUCCAUUGGUGGUUCUCUCCCCAAACUGAAAUCAUUAUCUUUCAUCCCGGAGGCUAACCUUGUCCUGCUGGGACCAGUUUAGUCUGGGGAACUAUUUUGCCUUUGGAACGCAAGGGUUCUUCCCCCUCCCAUCUGCUCAUCGCAAGCUUUCCACGCAGGCAAUGGGCAGACCAUUGAGGGAAAUGUCUUAGCCCCCGAAUAAAGCACAUGGGUGUUUUUUGAAAAUAUGUUUGAAGAAAACUACCCCCCACGUGGAAUAUCUGCCUUUUCUGAGCAAGUCUCUACAUCAAUCUGCCUUCUUUCUGGGGGUUACGUGAGCCAAAAAGGAAUCACUCACCUGGUGGCGGGGAGAGGGCAACCUCCCAUUCUGCAAGAUUACAAUCCCGAAAUCAACUGGCCUGGACCUUCUGAUAGAAGCCAGGAGGCUGGGCUGUGUUAAAAGAAGGCUGAGGAAAUGACACAGAGGAAUACAUUGUCACCUCCUUUCCAAUCCCGAGAGACUCGUUCCCAGCGGCUGUUUCUGCCGCCCCGUUUUGGACUCGCAAACUGUUGGAGAAGAAGGUUGUGGGCUGGAUGGCAGAGAGCCUGCGUGACAUAACUUUCAUGCUGUGACACACACAUGCAGACAGAGGAGACAGACAUUGGAGAUGGGGGCUCAGGGUCAGUCUGUGGUUGUCCCCCUGAAGUUCAUAGGUCAGGGCACCAAGGUCCUUCUCAAACCGUUAGGAUGGCUGCAAUCCAAAAAACAAAAACAAAACAAAAAA